GUCUCCGUGGUGUAACGGUAACGCAGCCGCCUAUAAAGCGGGAACACCGGGUUCGAUUCCCGGCGGGGACA